ensembl:snRNA U6 U6 spliceosomal RNA
GUGCUUGCUUUGGCAGCGCGUAUUCUAAAACUGGAACGAUACAGAGAAGAUUAGCAUGGCCCCUGCACAAGGAUGACAUGCAAAUUCGUGAAGUGUUCCAUAUUAAA